rnacentral:rRNA from 1 species
UAAAAAGCUCGUAGUUGGAUCUGUGUAUCGGACGGUCGGUUCGCCGCUCGCGGCGUUUAACUGACCGGUCCGGACGUCCUGCCGGUGGGCGCUCCCGGUUCGCGCCGUGGGGCGCCCGUAACUCCCUCCGCGCUGCUCUUAACCGAGUGGUUCGGUGGGCCGGCACGUUUACUUUGAACAAAUUUGAGUGCUCAAAGCAGGCCUUAUGUCGCCUGAAAACUGUGUGCAUGGAAUAAUGGAAUAGGGCCUUGGUUCUAUUUUGUUGGCUUUUCUGAACUCGAGGUAAUGAUUAAUAGGGACAGACGGGGGCAUUCGUAUUGCGACGUUAGAGGUGAAAUUCUUGGAUCGUCGCAAGACGGACCGAUGCGAAAGCGUUUGCCAAGAAUGUUUUCGCUAAUCAAGAACGAAAGUUAGAGGUUCGAAGGCGAUCAGAUACCGCCCUAGUUCUAACCAUAAACGAUGCCAGCCAGCGAUGCGCCGAAGUUCCUCCGAUGACUCGGCGCGCAGCUUCCGGGAAACCAAAGCUUUUGGGUUCCGGGG